rnacentral:rRNA from 1 species
AAACUUUCAACAAUGGAUCUCUUGGUUCCCGCAUCGAUGAAGAACGCAGCGAAAUGCGAUAACUAAUGUGAAUUGCAGAAUUCCGUGAAUCAUCGAGUCCUUGAACGCACAUUGCGCCCCCUGGUAUUCCGGGGGGCAUGCCUGUCCGAGCGUCAUUGCACCCCUCAAGCGCAGCU